rnacentral:misc_RNA from 1 species
AAGUAUUCUUAAUCCUCCAAUUUCAUUUUUUUUAAUUUGAAGAUUUUAAAAUCUCUUAUGCUCAUGUGGAUGUUUUGAGGUAUUUAGAUUUUUUAGCUUUUUAAGAUGAAUACCUCAUUAAUCAUUUUUUAUUCCUUUAUUUUGCCCUAUUUUAUGUUGUAUAGACAUUGACUAUUUAUGUGUGCAAGAGAAUCUUAGUGCAAGUUUGUUAUUUAGUGUUUUAUGAAUGAUGAACAAUAAAUGUUUUAUAUGU